rnacentral:lncRNA from 1 species
AAAUAUAAAAUAAGUUAUUUAAUUAAAUUAAAAAAACCAAAAACUAAAUAUAAAUAAUAUAUAAACCCAUCAAAACAUUUCUCCUCCUUCUUCGGCGAGACUAGCUCCCGGCCACCGUCGCUACCGUCGAACACACUGUUGUCAUCUCCACCACAGCUCCCCUCACCACUUUUCCCACUACCAGUGGAAGUCACAAAGCAAAAAAGCAACUUGCAAGUAACAUCGGUCAAAGAGGAUUGGGAAAUUAUUGGGGAAAACCUAGGAGACCAAGAACAAGACAAUAUAGCUGAGAAAAAUCCUUUGGUGGGUUCAUCUAUCUCUCGUGUUAGAGGUGAUAAAUCCUUGCAGGAAGAGACCCAUGCUACUAUUACUGUUCAACCCCAACACAAUGUAAGAAGAAGCAUGUCGAGUUAAAGGGCAUGUCUAUCUCAGACUCGGGUAGAUCUAGUGAGUCAGGGCUUAAGGAAAGCAGAUCUAACCCCUUUGGAAGCAGAAUUGGAGGUAGAUAAGCUAGAGGUUCUGGAACAAAUCAAGGCAGUAGUGACUAUUACCAACAAAUCGACCCAAUAUUUGGCCCUCUCUCAUCCUCUUCCUUUUCAUCGCUCACUUGUGGAACUCGACAAUGCAUGUCCUUUGACGUGUCUGAAUGCCAUAACAAUGCGUGUCUCGACGAGGACUCUUUGUCGGAGCUGCCAGUUUAAUCGGCUUAAGCGACGGUGCAUUAUCUUUCCCUUCUCAAUUUUGAGAAUUUUUUGAUUUUUCUGUGGAGGGUGAUUCCACUAGUAGUGGGGGAAGUGGUGAGGGGAGUUGUGGUGGAGAUGAUAACAGUGUGAUCGACGGUGGCGGCGAUGGCUAGGUGGUAGUCUCGCCGGAGAAGAAGGAGGAGAAAUGUUUUCAUGGGUUUAUAUAUUAUUUAUAUUUAGUUUUUGGUUUUUUAAUUUAAUUAAAUAACUUAUUUUAUAUUUAAUAUGAAAAAAAGCAAAGUACCAUUUUGACCCUUCUAUUUUGGUCAAAAUUGAUUAGUUUUUCCAAUUUUUGAUCAACUAACGGUGCAAUGGAUGAUUUUCGUCCAAAUGAAUUUCAGCUGCACAUUAAUAAAGGUUGGGGACCUUCAUUGGCACAAAAUGAAGGUUUGGGUAAAGUCUUCAAAAAUUGAAAAGGUUAGGGAUCGUUGCUGCAAUUUUUCCUAAAUUUUAUCUGGGUCAAAUAUUUAAUUAGUGAUGGAGUAAUGAAAAAUAUAUCAAUAUUGGGCUCGUUGGAUAGCUCGUAAUUAAUUGCGUAUGAUGGACUCGAG